AUGGGGGGAACCCUGAUCCAGCGACGCCGCGUGAGUGAAGAAGUAUUUCGGUAUGUAAAGCUCUAUCAGCAGGGAAGAAAGAAAUGACGGUACCUGACUAAGAAGCCCCGGCUAACUACGUGCCAGCAGCCGCGGUAAUACGUAGGGGGCAAGCGUUAUCCGGAUUUACUGGGUGUAAAGGGAGCGUAGACGGCAAGGCAAGUCUGAUGUGAAAGGUCGGGGCCCAACCCCGGGACUGCAUUGGAAACUGUCUGGCUGGAGUACAGGAGAGGUAAGUGGAAUUCCUAGUGUAGCGGUGAAAUGCGUAGAUAUUAGGAGGAACACCAGUGGCGAAGGCGGCUUACUGGACUGUAACUGACGUUGAGGCUCGAAAGCGUGGGGAGCAAACAGGAUUAAGCCGAAUU
rnacentral:rRNA from 1 species